rnacentral:rRNA from 1 species
GACGUAGGGUGCGAGCGUUGUCCGGAUUUAUUGGGCGUAAAGAGCGUGUAGGCGGCUAUACAGGUCCGCUGUGAAAACUCGAGGCUCAACCUCGAGACGUCGGUGGAAACCGUAUGGCUAGAGUCCGGAAGAGGAGAGUGGAAUUCCUGGUGUAGCGGUGAAAUGCGCAGAUAUCAGGAAGAACACCCGUGGCGAAGGCGGCUCUCUGGGACGGUACUGACGCUGAGACGCGAAAGCGUGGGGAGCGAACAGG